UUACCAGUUAUUUCCUCUUGGAUUUGCCGAGACUGGAGGAUUCCUUCCCGUUUCUGAAACAAGGGGGGAAAAGUGAUGAUUAAAAAAAAACUCAGCUCAGGGCUCAUAAGAUUGAGAAAGUUACCAAUGACUAAGAAGUACCCUCAGAGAAGAGUCAGGGCUUAGAAAGAAAAUUGGGCUCCAGGCUUUCAGUGAUGAGGAUUGUACAGUUUCCACUCAUAGGCAAUUAAAAGCUUUGCCUCAACAAAACCACCAAAUCUCAGAACUGGUACUUCAGGCACCACCCAACACUCUACCUGAAAAAAGAAUCUCUUCUACAAGACCUUCAGCAGAGUCUAAGUUUCUAUUUGGUUUUUCAUCUGCUGUGUCAUACAGUUGCUUCACAAUGAAGUAUGUGAUCUCCUAAACAGCAACAACAACAACAAUCUUUUUGGCUUUGUCCUCCUUUAUUGUAUUUGUGCACAAUUGACUUUUGGAGCCCAAGUGUAGGACUUAACAUCUCCCUCUAACCAAAUUUCACUUCUUCCAGUUCAGCCCACUAUUCACUAUUCCAAUUAGUGUCAGUGACACUGUCCCUGGCCUCUGAUGGUUCUGUAUUGUUUAGAAUUUUCUCAAUUUCUAGAUCUUGUUGAACACAUUCGAACCAACCUGUUAAAACAAUGAUGCAUGCCCUAACAAUUCUGCUGAACACCCUUGUUUGAAGGGUUAAUCUCUCAGAGUUAGGACCUUUUUGGAUCCAGAUACAUAUCAUCUAACAUCCUUAUUGGCUUCUAGGAAACCUGUAAGUUUACUAGGCACACAUGAAUUAGGUUUACAUAUAAAUCACUUAUAAAAAAAUGGGGCCAAGGAAAAUGCUAGUUGCUCUGCUUUUGAGUAUUCUAUACAUGGCUGUUUUUUCAAAGAUUGCUUUAUAGUAAAUUUUCUAUUAAAAAAUACUGCCUGCCUACCUCCAGGAAGGGUGUCCUACUACUUUCUGGGAGGGAGAAAAAUAGAGCAUGAGAAAGAAUAUCAGCUGUUGGUCAGUGGAAAGGAAGGGAAACCCCCAAAAGAGGCAAAUGUAAUGUCAAUGAAAAAAUUAGCAUUUCCUAAGGUAGGAAAUGAUUUUGGGGAUGUUGUGUUCUCCUGGAGUUAUGAUUCAUGUUGCAUGUAAACACUUAGUGAAAGUUGGGGAGCUGGUCCUUAUAAAAGCCAGAGUCAGCUUCUACUUUAUAAGGGGAGGAGCAUGGCAGGAUGGGAAGAAUUCUGUCUGCCAAGAAUAUGAAUUUCAAUUCCAGCCUUACUGCUUACUACCAAUGUGAUCUUAUUUAAGUUAUUUUUCUUCUCUGGGCUCAUUGAUAAAAUGAGAAGGAGCUGGAUUAGGAGGCCCCAAAAGUCCGCUCUAACUUAAUAGAUGAAUCAAACUUAAAACGACAAGAUAUUUAUCACACUUAAAUCAUGAGAAUGCAGAGUCAAAGGAGGGGGGAAAAGAUCUUCCUCAGAACCUAGGCCAUAUGGGCUAUACAUCACCUACCCACUUUUCCCUUCUAAUAUAUAUAUAUAUAUAUAACCUCAGUGUUUAAUUAUGUCUGAUCACUGAAGGCUUUGUACAAAGCAAGAACAUCUGGGUGAAAAUGACUCCUAAGUAGCCAGCUGAUUAGUGGGAACACAUUAGCACGUAUUUGUGCCUGGAAUAUUUCCUUUUGUAUUUCAAUAAAUGAAUUCCUGCUGACACCUCUGCCUUUAGCUUUGUGCAUGUUUAACUUGAUAAUGGAAAAAAAAAAACCUUUUAAAAUCUGAAUUGCCUCAAUGCCAUUUAUGUAAUAUGCCCUACUUUCUCUAUCUCUCUGACAAAACUGUAUUCAGGAGAAAAAAAAAACAACAACAACCCAACCAAGCCAGCUGAUGUCUUCUUUUGAACUCAGAAUAAGGCAUGAAAAAGGGAUUUGAAAUGGCUACAUCUUCAUAACAGCAAUCCAUUCUCUUCCCCAAUGCUCAUGCCAAGGGCUUGGAGAAAUAAUGUUGACUGAGAGACAUGCUAGAAAUUGCUAAGAUGACAUGAGAGUUCCCUUGGAGGCACAGUUUAUAAGCAAUUGAAAAUGUUGGGGAAAUUGUUGUAUGAGGUAAAAGAGGGAAUGGGAAAGUACCUCUGUAUGAGGUAAAAGAGGGAAUGGGAAAGUACCUCAGAGGUAAUCUGUUAAACCCUUAUUUAAAGCAUGAGUCCCCUCCUACAACAUCUUUGACUUCUAGUGGCAAGGAACUCACUCCUCAUGAGGAAACCCAUCCCAUUUUUGGACCACUCUAAUUGCUAGAAAAUCCUGAUACUGAGGGCUUCUCUGUAACUUCCCCUCACAGGUCCUAGUUCUGACCUUUGGAGAUAAGCAGAGAAAAAGAUUUCUACAAAUUAGUGAAGUAAGAAAGGUGAGCAAAAAGAAUGGACUGGGGUUAGACAAGGAAAGGAAGCUUUUAUUUUCUAAAGAGAAAAUGCUGCUUAGGAGCUACUAUACUCACAUAAUGCAUAUAAAGGCUCUGUAAGCAUCUAAGUGCUACAUAAAUGUCAGCUGUCAUUAUUAUUAUUGGUACCAUGCACUAGUACUGGACAAAUGGACUGUAAAGUUGUAUAUGGCACAGGAGGAACUUUCUGGGAUACCAGGCUUCUGGGAAAGGAGCCAAAGCCUUGACUUGGCUUGCAAAAAAGGAGCUUGGAAAAAAGAGAAAAGAACUCUGUUGUAUUGAUUUAGAAUUUUAAUCUUUACACUGUAGACCAAAGAGAAGAUAACUGCACAUCCCUUGUGGCCUCUCAUGGCCUUGGACUUUAUUAUCAUGGGGCCCUAACUCUUCUCUCUAUCCCAGGUCAAGACUCUCUCUCUCUCUCUCUCUCUCUCUCUCUCUCUCUCUCUCUCUCUCUCUC